GCCGAUGUAGCUCAAUGGUAGAGCAAGUGUUUCGUAAACACUAGGUUGAGGGUUCAAAUCCCUCCGUCGGCU
rnacentral:tRNA from 1 species